AAAAAAUGAAGGCAUGGUAAAUGCGUGACAUUCUGUCGCAACACAUGCACUUGCACGUACUGUACU
rnacentral:sRNA from 1 species